UACGAAGGGGGCUAGCGUUGUUCGGAAUUACUGGGCGUAAAGCGCGCGCAGGCGGUCUUCCAAGUCAGUGGUGAAAGCCCGGAGCUCAACUCCGGAACUGCCAUUGAAACUGUAAGACUUGAGGACGAGAGAGGUGAGUGGAAUUCCCAGUGUAGAGGUGAAAUUCGUAGAUAUUGGGAAGAACACCGGUGGCGAAGGCGGCUCACUGGCUCGUAUCUGACGCUCAGGCGCGACAGCGUGGGGAUCAAACAGG
rnacentral:rRNA from 3 species